UACGGAGGAUGCGAGCGUUAUCCGGAUUUAUUGGGUUUAAAGGGUGCGUAGGCGGGCUUUUAAGUCAGCGGUGAAAAUUCGGGGCUCAACCCCGUCCGGCCGUUGAAACUGGGGGUCUUGAGUGGGCGAGAAGAAGGCGGAAUGCGUGGUGUAGCGGUGAAAUGCAUAGAUAUCACGCAGAACCCCGAUUGCGAAGGCAGCCUUCCGGCGCCCUACUGACGCUGAGGCACGAAAGUGCGGGGAUCGAACGGG
rnacentral:rRNA from 1 species